rnacentral:rRNA from 1 species
UUGCAUCGAUGAAGAACGCAGCGAAAUGCGAUAAGUAAUGUGAAUUGCAGAAUUCAGUGAAUCAUCGAAUCUUUGAACGCACAUUGCGCCCGCCAGUAUUCUGGCGGGCAUGCCUGUCUGAGCGUCAUUUCAACCCUCAUGCCCCUAGGGCGUGGUGUUGGGGAUCGGCCAAAGCCCGCGAGGGACGGCCGGCCCCUAAAUCUAGUGGCGGACCCGUCGUGGCCUCCUCUGCGAAGUAGUGAUAUUCCGCAUCGGAGAGCGACGAGCCCCUGCCGUUAAACCCCCAACUUUCCAAGGUUGACCUCAGAUCAGGUAGGAAUACCCGCUGAACUUAAGCAUAUCAAUAAGCGGAGGAA